UUACCCACUAGAAGUGUCUGAGCCUGACUAUAUUUUGCCAAAUGAGAUGGGAGAAUCUUGGAGGGAAGAAGUAUGAAGGGGCUUUCUCUUGGGGUACCCUAAAGAUGGUGACCAAGAAUUCCAAGGGGCAUUUUCAGAUUCCAUAAUAUAAUAUGAGAAAAGGAACCAACCCCUGAAAUGAAGAACCUUCAGUCACCUCUACCCAGGUCCACAUUUCAAUUUCAUUUCAUUUCAUUGACUCCUCCCCUUUAAUGGUGCCCUGAAGUGAAACCCGUCAAGAAAGGUGGACUUAAAAGGGACCUGUUGAAGGGACCAUGUUAGGAAGAAUUCCAUUUCCAAGAAUGGCUCUUUACUCUUACAGGGAAUUCUUCUGUGAAACAAAAAGCUGGGGGUAAGCCAGUAAGGUGAAAAUACAGACCGCCCAUCUCCCGUUUAAAGACAAAAUAUUAUAUAGUCAGAGAGCUCAGAUGAAGUGUCUCCUGUUCUUUAGGGUUGGGGGUGGGGAAGGGCCUGGACAAACCUAUUUCCAUUUCCUAGUACACAGAAACUAGAUAUAAUAUCAAUCUGUUAUAAAUAAACAUGAUGUCUCCUCCAACAUUCGUCAUUGCUUCUGACUAGUCUACUUGAUCUGUGAAAAUGAGAUUACUUGAAAACCUGUCCUAGAUUUUAAAGCUGAACAAGAUAUAUUGAUUAUAAAAAUAUUUGUAUGUCGCUAUAUAUCUUAAUAAAA
rnacentral:lncRNA from 1 species